UACGAGGGGGGCGAGCGUUGUUCGGAAUUAUUGGGCGUAAAGGGUGCGUAGGCGGUUUGGUAAGUCUGAUGUGAAAUCUAUGGGCUCAACUCAUAGUCUGCAUCGGAAACUGCCGUGCUGGAGUGUGGGAGAGGUGCGUGGAAUUCCUGGUGUAGCGGUGAAAUGCGUAGAUAUCAGGAGGAACACCUGUGGCGAAAGCGGCGCACUGGACCACAACUGACGCUGAGGCGCGAAAGCUAGGGGAGCAAACAGG
rnacentral:rRNA from 1 species